UGUACACACCGCCCGUCAAACUAUGGGAGCUGGUAAUAUCUAAAACCGCAAAGCUAACCUUUUGGAGGCAUGCGUCUAGGGUAGGAUCGGUGACUGGAGUUAAGUCGUAACAAGGUAUCCCUACGAGAGCGUGGGGAUGGAUCACCUCCUUU
rnacentral:rRNA from 1 species